ACAGUGCUAUCAGAUUGUACAUGAAGGUGGGAGAUCAUUCGAGAGUGAGGAUCAGGUGCAGGUCCCCUGGUUGCGAGUAUCCUGAGCCCUCAAUGUCUUGGAAACCAAGCACUUGACUAGGCUUCAUUAUUUUGGGGUUUCCUAUCUUUGGUCUCGUGGCUGACCCAAAACAUUUGCCCCAAAGGUCUACCAUUGCAUAGAAAUUUAGAGACCUUUUAGAGUAUCGAGUCGUUAUCCUCCU
rnacentral:lncRNA from 1 species